CCGCGUGCAGGAAGAAGGCCUUCUGGGUUGUAAACUGCUUUUAUCUAGGAAGAAAACACCCAUGCGUGGGAAACUGACGGUACUAGAUGAAUAAGCACCGGCUAACUCCGUGCCAGCAGCCGCGGUAAUACGGAGGUGCAAGCGUUGUCCGGAUUUAUUGGGUUUAAAGGGUGCGUAGGCGGCCCUGUAAGUCAGUGGUGAAAGCCUCCAGCUCAACUGGAGAACUGCCAUUGAUACUGCAGGGCUUGAGUACAGACGAGGUUGGCGGAAUUGAUUGUGUAGCGGUGAAAUGCAUAGAUACAAUCAAGAACUCCGAUUGCGUAGGCAGCUAACUAGGCUGUAACUAACGCUGAGGCACGAAAGCGUGGGGAGCGAACAGGAUUAGAUACCCUGGUAGUCCACGCCGUAAACGAUGAUUACUCGAUGUUGGCGAUAAACAGUCAGCGUCUUAGCGAAAGCGUUAAGUAAUCCGCCUGGGGAGUACGCCCGCAAGGGUG
rnacentral:rRNA from 1 species